rnacentral:rRNA from 1 species
UUAUAAGAGGUCCAGCCUGCCCAGUGACAAAGUUCAACGGCCGCGGUACCCUAACCGUGCGAAGGUAGCAUAAUCACUUGUUCUUUAAAUAAGGACUUGUAUCAAAGGCAUCACGAGGGCUACACUGUCUCCUUUCUCCAAUCAGUGAAACUGAUCUUCCCGUGAAGAAGCGGGAAUCUACUUAUAAGACGAGAAGACCCCAUGGAGCUUUAAACCCAUUAUAUACCUCUGUUUAUUCACACCAAAAUAACCUAAAAGACUUAUAUACUGGUUUUAGGUUGGGGGGACCACGGAGUAAAACUUAACCUCCACGACAAAUGGGCUACGCCCUUAUUUAAGAACUACAAUUCUAAAAAUCAAUAAAUUAAUGUUAAAUGACCCGAAUUAUCGAUCAACGAACCAAGUUACCCUGGGGAUAACAGCGCAAUCUACUUCAAGAGCCCCUAUCGCCAAGUAGGUUUACGACCUCGAUGUUGGAUCAGGGUAUCCCAGUGGUGCAGCCGCUACUAAAGGUUCGUUUGUUC